rnacentral:rRNA from 1 species
GUGAGGAAUAUUGCGCAAUGGAGGCAACUCUGACGCAGCCAUGCCGCGUGCAGGAAGAAGGCGCUACGCGUUGUAAACUGCUUUUAACCGGGAAGAAACCCCAGGACGUGUCCUGGGUUGACGGUACCGGAGGAAUAAGCACCGGCUAACUUCGUGCCAGCAGCCGCGGUAAUACGAAGGGUGCAAGCGUUAUCCGGAUUCAUUGGGUUUAAAGGGUGCGUAGGCGGAGCGUUAAGUCAGUGGUGAAAUCCUGCAGCUUAACUGUAGACUUGCCAUUGAUACUGGCGCUCUUGAGUGCGCUUGAAGUGGGCGGAAUGUGCCGUGUAGCGGUGAAAUGCUUAGAUAUGAUGUAGAACACCGAUUGCGAAGGCAGCUCACUAAGCAAAUAUUGACGCUGAGGCACGAAAGCGUGGGGAUCAAACAGGAUUAGAAACCCUGGUAGUCC